UUUGAAUUCAACAGAAGUAAUACUUUCUACCUCUUCGACCACACUGAUAUUACCGUUACAUAUCCUGGGGAAAGUGAAACAAAUUGGGCUAUUGCAAGUUUGGUUACUGCUUGACUUGAUCUCAAAAGGUCCGUAUUAUAAAGGAUGUUCGAAUUGUUGAUGUCUGAGUGUUGGGAAAACCGCUCACAGGGACGAUGUAGCACCCGACAGAUUCCUUGCUAAUUGCCAGUGGGAAAAUAGAAAAACAAGAAAACAAACAUAUCAAGUGGGAUUCUAGAUGGGAUUACAUUUUGGAGUCUAUGCCUCAUCCCCACAUCCAGUGGCUUAGUUCUGGCCUGUCUUGGUUUCCCUUCCCCUGCCAAUCGAAGUCUUUAAUGACCUGUGCUGUUUUGUCAUGGGUCCUUCUGGGAACCUCUGCUGGAUACGUGUCUGCUAAAAUGUAUAAGAGCAAGCAUUACAACUCUUUAUUUUGCUGGUUAGGUAUCCAGUUCGCACAAACCAGAUUCCACGUCAGAUUCCUCAACAGAUUUUCUCUAGAAAAUGACUUUUGGCAUCAUAAUCAGUGGCAUUUUCCCUUUUGGCUGUAUUUUUAUUCAACUCUUUUUCCUUCUGAACAGUGUUUGGAACAGUCGGAUUUUUUUCCUGCUUCUGUUUUAUUAUCAAAAUCUACAGUGUGGUGAAAGUGGAUUAAAGAAUGUCCCCAGAGGCUUCCAGGCACAUCACCCUUGCUUUUGAAUAUACAUCUGUAUCUAUAUGAACAUCUAUAAAGAUACAUAUGUAUGCUUCCAAUUGCCUGUUUUUAAUAUAUAUCAAUUGGAAAAUCUCAUUGUCUGGCCUCAGUUUGUGUAACACAACACACUGAUUGCAUGCAGAAAACCAGGUUGGGAAAUAGCUUUAUUCUAAGUCAUAUUUUCCUGAAAUGAUACUAUAAAAGGGUUUGAUUUAAAGGAAUUAGAGCAAGGGAGGCACAUUUAUUUAAGAAAUUAAAGUGCAGUGGUUUUUCAGAUGAAGAAUUUUUCUUUUUUUCUUCCUCAUUUAUUUAGAGCAUCAGAACUAUUGUCAAAUAAAUUUUAGGUAAAACGUGAACUUUUUUUUUUU
rnacentral:lncRNA from 1 species